rnacentral:rRNA from 1 species
GGAGCAGGCGGCCGCAAGGGUCUGUGGUGAAAGACCGAAGCUAAACUUCGGUAAGCCAUGGAAACCGGGCGGCUAGAGUGCGGAAGAGGAUUGUGGAAUUCCAUGUGUAGCGGUGAAAUGCGUAGAUAUAUGGAGGAACACCAGUGGCGAAGGCGACGGUCUGGGCCGCAACUGACGCUCAUUCCCGAAAGCGUGGGGAGCAAAUA